rnacentral:rRNA from 1 species
GAUGAACGCUAGCUACAGGCUUAACACAUGCAAGUCGAGGGGAAACGAUAGAGAAAGCUUGCUUUUUCUAGGCGUCGACCGGCGCACGGGUGAGUAACGCGUAUCCAACCUGCCCAUCACUUGGGGAUAACCUUGCGAAAGUAAGACUAAUACCCAAUGAUAUCUCUAGAAGACAUCUGAAAGAGAUUAAAGAUUUAUCGGUGAUGGAUGGGGAUGCGUCUGAUUAGCUUGUUGGCGGGGUAACGGCCCACCAAGGCGACGAUCAGUAGGGGUUCUGAGAGGAAGGUCCCCCCACAUUGGAACUGAGACACGGUCCAAACUCCUACGGGAGGCAGCAGUGAGGAAUAUUGGUCAAUGGACGAGAGUCUGAACCAGCCAAGUAGCGUGCAGGAUGACGGCCCUAUGGGUUGUAAACUUCUUUUAUACGGGAAUAAAGUGAGGCACGUGUGCCUUUUUGUAUGUACCGUAUGAAUAAGGAUCGGCUAACUCCGUGCCAGCAGCCG